rnacentral:rRNA from 1 species
UACGGAGGGUGCGAGCGUUGUCCGGAAUCAUUGGGCGUAAAGGGCGCGUAGGCGGCGACUCAAGUUAGAUGUGAAAGUCCUGGGCUUAACCUGGGGACUGCAUUUGAUACUGGGUUGCUUGAAUUCGGGAGAGGAUAGCGGAAUUCCCAGUGUAGAGGUGAAAUUCGUAGAUAUUGGGAAGAACACCGGUGGCGAAGGCGGCUAUCUGGACCGACAUUGACGCUGAGGCGCGAAAGCGUGGGGAGCAAACAGG